GCAGAGGUGGGGUGGGCGUGCGCGUGUGCCUCUCGUGCAAUUGUCUACGGGCUCCGAUUGUUCUGCACACACCUCACUUGAGCCUUACUAUCACAGCUGAACCCCGACUUACACGGGAGACAGAUUCCAGAAAACUCUGAGUAACCUGAAAGGGAAGGCCACCGGCCCCUGGAGAGUGCUGUGCAGAGAUGAACGUGUGUGACUCGGGUUUUAAGAGGACCGCCCGGCCGCUGUGUUGAAAGCAGACCAUGGGCAGAGGUGCGAGGCUGUAGGUGGUUCAGGCUUCACUUAGGAGGGAACCACUGGGCCACUCCAUGCCGGGGAUAGGCAGAGAAGAGCUCCGACCCGUGAAUGGUGGAGCUGGGCUACUCACUCCUUCAGCAGGAC